UUGGAUUGAGCCUUGGUAUGGAAAAAUCCGUCGACUUUAGAAAUCGUGAGGGUUCAAGUCCCUCUAUCCCC
rnacentral:tRNA from 1 species